AUGGCUGGCGUAAUGCUCCAGCAUGACCGCUUCGUGUGCUGCCUCGAGUCGCGCGGCCACUACGCUCGCGCCGAGGCGGAGGCAGCUGCCACUCUCGACGCCCUCCACUGCGCGCUCUCACCGGCGGCGUUCGCAAAGCCUUGUCACCGCGCUGCAAGUGUUGCCCCCCUCCUCCCCAAGGGCAAGGUGAAGAAAGGUGCCUGUGUGGUUCUUCUGCAGCUCGCAGCGAGGAUUGCUGUGUCCAACCUGCACAAUAAUGCCAAGAAGUCCUUCUUGGAGACGAUUAAGGACAUGUACCUGCACUACAGCGAGAGAUCUGGGCUGCUUCUUUGUGGCUUCCAAACUUGA
rnacentral:rRNA from 1 species